CCUACGGGUGGCAGCAGUGGGGAAUAUUGGACAAUGGGGGAAACCCUGAAGCAGCGAAGCCGCGUGAGGGAAGAAGUAUCUCGGGAUGUAAAGCUUCUUUUGCAGGGAAGAAAAACGACGGUAGUUGACUAAGAAGCCCCUGCUCAAUACGUGCCAGCAGCCGCGGUAAUACGUAGGGGGCAAGGGUUAUCCGGAUUUACGGGGUGUAACGGGAGCGUAUACGGGGCGGCAAGUCUGAAGUGAAAGGUAGGGGCUUAACCACUGAACUGCGUUGGAAACUGCCAUGUUUGAGUGCUGGAGAGGUAAGUGGAAUGCGUGGUGUAGCGGUGAAAUGCGUAGAUAUUACGAAGAACACCGAUUGCGAAGGCAGCUUACUGGACAAUAACUGACGUUGAGGCUCGAAAGCGUGGGGAGCAAACAGGAUUAGAUACCCUUGUAGUC
rnacentral:rRNA from 1 species